GGAGUUGGCUCAGUGGUAGAGUGCUUGCCUUGCAUGCAUGAGGCCCUGGGUUCGAUUCCUUAGCACCA
rnacentral:tRNA from 1 species